rnacentral:lncRNA from 1 species
CAAAGGUAUAACACAAAGAAGAUAUCUAUUAGAAAUAAUCCAAAAAUAGAAACAAAAAAGAGAGAGACAACAAAGGUAUAACACAAAGAAGAUAUCUAUUAGAAGUAUUCCAAAAAUAGAAACUAAAAAGAGAGAGAUUACAAAGGUAUAACACAAAGAAGAUAUAGUAAUCCAAAAAUAGAAACUAAAAAGAGAGAGAUAACAAAGGUAUAACACA